AAGAGCUUUGCGGAGCCUACAGCCCGGAUGGGACGACUGAGGCCCUCCCGCUGGCGAGCUGGCCGAGGGCUCGUCCCUCUCCAGCUAAAGCGCCAGCUUACGAUACAGCCAAACUGCCGGCUCUCAUCGGCUGUGGGAGCAGGAGGCCCCCAGGGAUUUACAGGAGCAUUGUGACUGGACCAAGGACAAAGAAGUUCCCAACCUCCUCGGACCCUCGCUGCUGCCCAGAUGUCUGCCAUGGGGUGCCAUCAUCGAAUCCACUGAGGGCGCAAAUAGAACAAAAAGGUGAAGAAAAGGUGAAUUCUCUCCUUUCUUGAGCUGGGACAUCCAACUUCUCAGACAUCAGAGCUCCUGGAGGCCUUCAGACUCCGAGACAUUACACCAUUGGCUCACCUGGUCCUCAGGUCUUUGGACUUGGAAUGAAUUACACCAUUGGCUUUCCAGGUCUUCCAGCUUGCAGAUGGCAGAUUGUGGGAUUUUUCAGCCUCCAUAACUUUGUCAUCCAAUUCCCAUAAUAAAUCG
rnacentral:lncRNA from 1 species